rnacentral:rRNA from 1 species
UACGAGGGGGGCGAGCGUUGUUCGGAAUCACUGGGCGUAAAGGGUGCGUAGGCGGGUCUUUAAGUCAGGGGUGAAAUCCUGGAGCUCAACUCCAGAACUGCCUUUGAUACUGAGGAUCUUGAGUUCGGGAGAGGUGAGUGGAACUGCGAGUGUAGAGGUGAAAUUCGUAGAUAUUCGCAAGAACACCAGUGGCUAAGGCGGCUCACUGGCCCGAUACUGACGCUGAGGCACGAAAGCGUGGGGAGCAAACAGG